UGCCAGCCGCCGCGGUAAUACGAACUGUGCAAACGUUAUUCGGAAUCACUGGGCUUAAAGAGUCCGUAGGCUGCUUGGUAGGUGGGGUGUGAAAUCCCCGGGCUUAACCUGGGAACUGCAUUCGAUACUGUCUGACUGGAGUAUGGGAGAGGGCAGUGGAAUUCCAUAUGUAGCGGUGAAAUGCGUAGAUAUGUGGAGGAACACCAGUGGCGAAGGCGACUGCCUGGCCCAAUACUGACGCUGAUGUGCGAAAGCGUGGGUAGCGAACAGGAUUAGAUA
rnacentral:rRNA from 1 species